rnacentral:rRNA from 1 species
UCGUGAUGGGGAUCGGGGAUUGCAAUUAUUCCCCAUGAACGAGGAAUUCCCAGUAAGUGCGGGUCAUAAGCUUGCGUUGAUUAAGUCCCUGCCCUUUGUACACACCGCCCGUCGCUACUACCGAUUGGAUGGUUUAGUGAGGCCCUCGGAUCGGCCCCGCCGGGGUCGGCCCACGGCCCUGGCGGAGCGCUGAGAAGACGGUCGAACUUGACUAUCUAGAGGAAGUAAAAGUCGUAACAAGGUAACC